rnacentral:rRNA from 1 species
AUUGAACGCUGGCGGCAUGCCUUACACAUGCAAGUCGAACGGCAGCACGGGUGCUUGCACCUGGUGGCGAGUGGCGAACGGGUGAGUAAUACAUCGGAACGUACCUUAUCGUGGGGGAUAACGCAGCGAAAGCUGUGCUAAUACCGCAUACGCCCUGAGGGGGAAAGCGGGGGAUCGAAAGACCUCGCGCGAUUAGAGCGGCCGAUGCCUGAUUAGCUUGUUGGUGGGGUAAAAGCCCACCAAGGCGACGAUCAGUAGCUGGUCUGAGAGGACGAUCAGCCACACUGGGACUGAGACACGGCCCAGACUCCUACGGGAGGCAGCAGUGGGGAAUUUUGGACAAUGGGGGAAACCCUGAUCCAGCAAUGCCGCGUGAGUGAAGAAG